CGUCACAACGGCUUCCUGGCGUGACGCGGUCCUUUCCAACGGAGCA
rnacentral:ncRNA from 1 species